rnacentral:rRNA from 1 species
UACAGAGGGUGCGAGCGUUGUCCGGAAUCACUGGGCGUAAAGGGCGCGUAGGCGGUCACGCACGUCCGUUGUGAAAUCGCUCGGCUCAACUGGGCGGGGUCAGCGGAUACGGCGUGGCUGGAGCAAGCUAGGGGGCAAUGGAAUUCCCGGUGUAGUGGUGGAAUGCGUAGAUAUCGGGAGGAACACCAGUGGCGAAGGCGGUUGCCUGGAGCUUUGCUGACGCUGAUGCGCGAAAGCGUGGGGAGCGAUCCGG